rnacentral:lncRNA from 1 species
GACGACGUGACGGCUGCUGCGGUGGGGAGCCGGGGAGGCUCGCGCGGGCGCGGGAAGGAGGCGGGAGCCCGGUUGCUGAGGCCCCCCGUCCCCACGCCGCCACUGCGGCGCUGCCAGACAGCCAGGGGCGGGGGAGGCGGAGGGAGGAGGCGGCGAGCCCGCGGCGCGGGGCCUGGGCGGGGGAAACUCGCGCCCCAGGCUGUGGCCGGCAGGGAGCUGCUUCAGGGACAAGAUGUGGGGCUGGAUGUGCUCACGCCCCAGAGGCGACCCCCUCCUGCCCGCUGGCACGCCGCGGGGUCAAACUGUGCUCUCCAGCCGUGGCUUCCUCCCCGCCACCUGUUGCACCCCAUUGCUUCCCCAAGUGUCCUGGCUUCAACCUCCCUCUCUGGUUUUCCCAGCUCUCAGCCCACAAUCUUCAGUCCUUCGGAAUACAAGUCUUGUCGUAUGAAGGAAGCCGGGUAACUCAGCACCUUCCUUGGCACCGAGAAGAAGAGAGACAGGGGUCUCCCCAGCAAGCUCUGAUGUGAGCCAGUUUUGCCCUGGGCAGAAAUGCCGCAGAGCAGGGAACAGGCAAACACGCGGCUUUGCUGAGGCCAUGAGGAAGAGAAGGCUGCCAGUCCAUCCGCCUGCCGUCCUGUCCAACACCAGACUGCUAUGGAAAGGAGCAUGUCUGCCCUUACUGUAGCCAGCCUGGGAUUUGAAGUGUCCUGUAUGCAUGUCUCUUCCUCCACUGACAUUGGACCUCCGGGAAAUGAAGGAUGACAUACGGCACAGCAGAAAUUGAUCAUCAGCUGGAAAUGAUAUAUAACAGUGGUAAGGGGUUGUCACACUACUCUUCCUAACUGCAAGUGGACUUUACUGUUCCCAUGUGUCCAGACAGGAGAGGAAGACAAGAUGUGGGGCCUCCUGGGGAUCCUCUGGAGCUUCCUGGUGAUCCUGGUCAGCCUGUCCCCUGAGAACCUGAAGGAAAAAGUGAGAGGGCACCUCAGGGUACACAAGCAAGCAGAGGCUGAUUCUGCAGGACUGACAGUAGAGAGGGGCCUAAGACGCUCCCUCUACUGACCUGAGUGCAGACCCCUCGACAAAGACCUCCCCAUCCCUGACACCAAUGAUCCCAGGAUGGGGGCCCCUGUGUUGACCUGAGUCAUCCUCGGAGAACAAGUUCCUCACCUCCCCGAGAUCUGAAAACAGGAAUGAGAUGGAGCUACAUCCUGUCACCCCCACAUGGGGUGUCCAGAGCCUGGACCCACUUCCCUCCACCAAUCUCAAGCCGCCACUCAGAGCGAGAACUUCGCUUCUCUUUGACCCCCAACGCCAAGUCAGUGGUGUCACAUCCGGGCACCCGGGGAUUCCCUCGGUUGAAAGCAGGGGCGAAACCGGAUUCUACCAGAAUAGCCUGGGCCCACUUCCCUCCUCCAAUCCCAAGCCGCCUGUCAGACCAAGAAGCUCGCUUCUCUCUGACCCCCAAUGCGCAAAUCAGUGGCGUCACAUCCAGGCCAGGGGCUUCCCGGGGUUGACAGCAGGGGAAGACCCAGAUUCUGCCAGGAUGGAGCUAUAGAGGGAACCUGGGCCUGCUUCCUUCCACCGAUCUCAAGCUGCUCCUAAGACCAAGAACCUGGCUUCUCUCUGAUACCCAAUGCGCAAGUCAGUGGCAUCACAUCCGGGCCACCUGGCGCUUCUGGUUGAUUUGGGAAGCAGAGAAUAGCCGCCCAAAUUUGAUUGUAAUUUUGGCGGCUACAGGUAUGGCUUUAUUGUCACGGUGGAAGGGGGUGUAUAUAUAGGGAGGCCAGGAGGCAUGGAGUAGACGAUUGAGAGACACUGACAUGGUGAAGAUGACCAGGAAACCACAAACCUCCAGCCCAGGUGUCAAAGAACAACCACCUGCCAACACCAAAGGGGCAAGGAACAGGAAGGCCCCCUGUCAAACUAAGUCUAUAAGUCCUAUCAAGGUUCCUAAGACAACCAGGAAGGGAAAAGGAAACCUUUUAGGGAAUUCCAGAAAAAAAAAAAACAACUCUCCCAAAAAAGAUCUCUGCUUCAAGAAAACCUGAGGAAGGAAGCGAGCCAAAACUAUCCAGCCCCUGUGACCAGCUGAAUGAGGAACUUAAUCAAAAUUAGCCACAGCAGGACCAAAGCAAGGAGACCUCCAACAUCCCUAGUGUCUCCCCGGGCAGCCAGUAAUUUCAGGGCAAGACCAGAGAACUCAGAUUUACCUGAAAAGUCUCCAGAGGUCUAACCCCAAAUAAAUAGCCAACAGGGUCUAGAGUACGUUUUACACCCCACAGGGUACACCCCACGGUGAUCAAAAUAAAAAGAACCUGUUGUAAAA